rnacentral:ncRNA from 4 species
UACGGAGGGUGCAAGCGUUAAUCGGAAUUACUGGGCGUAAAGCGCGCGUAGGUGGUUUGAUAAGCGAGAUGUGAAAGCCCCGGGCUUAACCUGGGAACGGCAUUUCGAACUGUCAGGCUAGAGUGUGGUAGAGGGUAGUGGAAUUUCCUGUGUAGCGGUGAAAUGCGUAGAUAUAGGAAGGAACACCAGUGGCGAAGGCGGCUACCUGGACCAACACUGACACUGAGGUGCGAAAGCGUGGGGAGCAAACAGG